rnacentral:rRNA from 1 species
GAGUUUGAUCGUGGCUCAGGAUGAACGCUAGCUACAGGCUUAACACAUGCAAGUCGAGGGGCAUCGGGAAGAAAGCUUGCUUUCUUUGCCGGCGACCGGCGCACGGGUGAGUAACACGUAUCCAACCUGCCCUUUACUCGGGGAUAGCCUUUCGAAAGAAAGAUUAAUACCCGAUGGCAUAAUGAUUCCGCAUGGUUUCAUUAUUAAAGGAUUCCGGUAAAGGAUGGGGAUGCGUUCCAUUAGGUUGUUGGUGAGGUACGCCACCAGCCUUCGAUGGAUAGGGUUCUGAGAGGAAGGUCCCCCAAUUGGAACUGAGACACGGUCCAAACUCCUA